UCGUGUCGUGAGAUGUUGGGUUAAGUCCCGCAACGAGCGCAACCCUCACCUCUUGUUGCCAACAGGUCAUGCUGGGCACUCUAGAGGAACUGCCCCGGUCAACGGGGAGGAAGGCGGGGAUGACGUCAAGUCAUCAUGCCCCUUACGUCCUGGGCUACACACGUGCUACAAUGGCCGGUACAAAGGGAUGCCACACCGCGAGGUAGAGCUAAACCCAAAAAGCCGGUCUAAGUUCAGAUUGGAGUCUGCAACUCGACUCUAUGAAGGAGGAAUCGCUAGUAAUCGC
rnacentral:rRNA from 1 species